GUUACAUACAGUUGGUAGAGCAUUGUGCUAACAACACUAAGGUCAUGGGUUCAAAUCCCAGGGAACG